CAGUAGCCGCGGGAAUACGAAGGGGGCUAGCGUUGCUCGGAAUGACUGGGCGUAAAGGGCGCGUAGGCGGAUUGUUUAGUUAGGCGUGAAAUUCCUGGGCUUAACCUGGGGACUGCGCUUAAUACAGGCAGUCUAGAGUGAGGAAGAGGGUUGUGGAAUUCCCAGUGUAGAGGUGAAAUUCGUAGAUAUUGGGAAGAACACCGGUGGCGAAGGCGGCUACCUGGACUGACACUGACACUGAGGCACGAAAGCGUGGGGAGCAAACAGGAUUAGAUACCCCAGUAGUCCCUGUCUCUUAUAC
rnacentral:rRNA from 1 species